UUAAGGUAUUCUAUUAUCUAGCUGGAAGAGAUUUCAGAAAUAGUCUAGUCCAAUGGUUUUCUGACUGGUAUUUGUUUUGCUUUAGUAGUGGGACUGGGGCUCAGAAAGGGGAGCACUCAGGCAAGAAGACUGAAUAAGUGACUGGGUGUGAUUAGUACCAAGCUCUUGGAACCCCAAGCACAUACUCCACAUGCUUUAUCUUAUUUGGUCUUCACAAGCCCCUCUGCUGCCCACUCCCUGCUCUGCCCUUAGUAGGGACGUGGAGGAGGAAGGCUCCAGAAGGAGUAAGUAUGUCUAUCUUAUUUUUAGCCCUAAAAUCAUAUAGAACAUAUCUUCUAAUAUUACCUGAUUGUUGCAUGGCAUUGUGUAAUUAUUUACUCACGCUUACCCAUGUAAUGCCAUGAUAACUGUGAGGAAUGUUUGGGUAUGCCUAUUUUAUGGAAGACACAGAGGACAAGGAGUUGCCACCCAGUCCAUAAGUGGGGGGCCUGAGACCCAGCUGUCUCAGUGUUUGGACCCCCAUCCAGGGACCACUGUAAUCGGGAGUUAUCACUCAUCCAGAGAGUACCCACACUCUCAUCAGUUGCCUUUUGUGCACUUUGUUCCAGUGGUGAAUAACAGAGAAUGUCUGUUGCUAAGCCGCAGCAUUACAAAGAGCAGUGCAACUUCCUUGAUUGUAGUUCAUCAACCAGGGAGAGUGGAAGCCAUUAAAGAGGCCAAUCUGGGACUUGUAAUUAAUCAGGAGCAAAGGUAUCUUUGAGGAACCAGCAGCGACUAGAGAUGUCAGAGAAGAGAAGUUCAUAACUUCAUGAAGCCCCAUCUUGGCCUCCACUACCGCCCGAGGCGCUGAGAAGGUAAAUAGGUCUGAACCAGCCCUGCCACAAAGGACACCGGCAAAGCUAUGUGGCCGAUGCUAAAGUCAGCAAGGUCUGCAGUGCAGGAGUCUCAAGGCCCCAAACUGCUUGUGGCAAACUCCUCCUGGUUGUUGACAGUCAACAGAGCGGUGAAAAAUAACCCACAAGACCGCACAUCUGGAGGCCAUAGAAUGGAGACCCAAACUGGUGAGCCACAUGAGCUUUAUCUCCGUGAGAGCUUUGGACUGUCCUCAAAGACUCAGACUGCCCCGUACAAAAGCAGUUUUGAAACAGAAAAGACUCUUGGAAAAAACGAGGGUGACGUCUCAUUUCUCGAUACAGUUUUGGUCUCGUUGG